GAAUUUCUUCAACUUUUAUAGUGCAGUAACAUGAACCUGAGAACUAAUAUUCAUAUACAAGCGUAUGCAAGCGAAAUUUUCCCUUGUUAUUUUUUACAAUACAAGGUUGAAAUGUGUAAGUGAAAUUCAUGAUACGAAUAGGUUUAUUGAAAGAAGAAGCAAUUUGUAUAAUGGUUUAAAUGGGGACACUAGGAAUUUAUUUAAUUAGUGAUUGUAGUGUUUGGCUAGACAGGGUUGAAAGAAAGCCUACUUCAGUUUUUAGAUAAGUGAUGUUUAGGAUUUCGCCUCAAUAAACAAAACAUGGCAAGUUCUAGUAAAAUUUUCUUAACACUUCAUUUAGAUGAUGAAAUUGAACUAAUUGAAAUUAGAAUGUCCAAUACUUUACUGCUGAACUUAUACAAAGUUAAUAAAGCAAAAACCAAGAAUACAGAAAUCAUUCCAAAAAAGAUUUUAAAGUAACAAGUGAUACUUCAAUUUUUACCUUAUUCUUAGUAAGCCAGUAUUCCUUUUGAAGCUGAUAUAUUUUUCUAUAAGAAGUUGUCAUAUUUUUAAACUUUUGGACAAGAACUAAUUCCAUUAAAUGUAUGGUAACAAUAUAAUUUAUACAAAUUAAGUGAUUAUAGAUACUAAGCAUCAUUAUAUUAAUACUAAUUAUUUAUUUAUGCAUCAUUAUAGUGAUAGUGAAAGCCGACUAGAAGCAAAAAUUGCUCCCAGCUGAGCUCUUUCUAACGAGCUCGUACAAAAGUUUUUUUUUUGUUUUUGUUUUUUUGACUACUUCAUAGCAAACCCACAAAACACUAGCUACUACAUAGCGUAUCCACAACAAUUUCAAAAACCACAAACAUAAACGAAAAACAAAAAGUGUUACCUCCCCCUUACUUAAAAUUUUACAUAGUCUCCUAUGUAAAACUCAAGCUGGGGGCUAACGCAGAGGUUCUAUUAAAGCAAGAACCGGAUAGAUUUGAUCACAAUCUGCUUCAUAAAAUUCAAGUCCUCGUUCCUCUAUAAGAGGACGAGCAUUAUUAAAAUUAGCCCACUCUUGCUGCCUGCAUGAGACAAACCUGGAUUGAUCAAAAUAUAGAAUUCUGGAUCCCAUAUUGAAGGAACAACUUAUAAUAAGGAAAAUAUAAGUUAGUAAACUUUAAGUGUUUUGAUGAGAACAUGUGAUGUGCUAAAAUUAGCUAAAAAGGUUUUUAUAGGCAACUUGCACCGCUUACCGUGUGUACUUGAAUAUAACUGUGACAAUGUGCAGUGUACACUUUGCCUUUAUGAACAGUAGCUUAUUCUUUUGUUGGUGUCAUAUUCUGUUGGUGCAAUGUUUUACAGUAUUAGAUGUUAUAUUUACUGUAAAUGGAACAGAGUUCAAUUGAUGUUUAAAGCUCAUUUUGUUUCAAGGAAUGUUUUGAUUUCCAGCCGUCUUCUUUUU
rnacentral:lncRNA from 1 species